CAGACCAUCCAUUCUCUCCUUUGCUGGCCUUGAUGAAAUAAUCUACCAUAGAGACCUCUGUGGCAAAGAACUAGGAGCCGACUCCAGCUAAGAGCAGCAGGGAAGUCCAACUCAGAGGCUUCACCCCACAAUGAACCACAUUUCUUCAGCACUCUCAUAGCAUUGGCUUCAUCACAAUCUGCCUCAUCUCAGAAUAACAGGUGCUUGCAAGUCACUACACUGACCAGUUGGGGUUUGAAUUUAUGAUCCUCCUGCCUCUGUCUCUCAGAGUGCUGCGAUUACAGGAAAACUAGCAUGUCAGCCUCCUUCACCACAAACCUCGUAGUAGACCACAGUACACUCUCUCUGAGCCUUGGUCAUGACUUGAAGAUGAAUGUAUUAUGAGAUGCUCCUACUUCACAUUUGCAAUAUUUCUAAAAAGAGUUCUGUAAUAGAAAGAAAGAGGAUGACGAUUCUGGAGACUACAUAUUUUGAAUGGCUGUUGAGGUUGCUGCUGAAGAUUCUGCUAGAGAAAUCUUCAAAUGUAGGGUUUCAAUUCAAAACUAUUUCAAUGACUGUG
rnacentral:lncRNA from 1 species